GCGUUGUCCGGAUUUAUUGGGUUUAAAGGGUGCGUAGGUGGCCUUAUAAGUCCGUGGUGAAAGCCUCUCGCUCAACGAGAGAACUGCCAUGGAUACUGUAGGGCUUGAGGGUAGACGAGGUUGGCGGAAUAGAAGGUGUAGCGGUGAAAUGCAUAGAUACCUUCUAGAACCCCGAUUGCGUAGGCAGCUGACUAGGCUACACCUGACACUGAGGCACGAAAGCGUG
rnacentral:rRNA from 1 species